rnacentral:rRNA from 1 species
GCGGAGGAUGCAUGUGUUAUCCGGAAUCACUGGGCGUAAAGCGUCUGUAGGUGGUCAAAUAAGUCAACUGUUAAAUCUUGAGGCUCAACCUCAAAAUCGCAGUCGAAACUAUUCGACUAGAGUAUAGUAGGGGUAAUGGGAAUUUCCAGUGGAGCGGUGAAAUGCGUAGGGAUUGGAAAGAACACCGAGGGCGAAGGCACUUUACUGGGCUAUUACUAACACUCAGAGACGAAAGCUAGGGUAGCAAAUGGGAUUAGAUACCCCAGUAGUCCUAGCUGUAAACAAUGGAUACUAGAUGUUGAACAGAUCGACCUGUGCAGUAUGAAAGCUAACGCGUUAAGUAUCCCGCCUGGGAAGUAUGCUCGCAAGAGUG